GAUGAACGCUAGCUACAGGCUUAACACAUGCAAGUCGAGGGGAAACGACAUCGAAAGCUUGCUUUUGAUGGGCGUCGACCGGCGCACGGGUGAGUAACGCGUAUCCAACCUGCCCAUCACUUGGGAAUAACCUUGCGAAAGUAAGACUAAUACCCAAUGACAUCCCACGAAGACAUCUGAAUGGGAUUAAAGAUUUAUCGGUGAUGGAUGGGGAUGCGUCUGAUUAGCUUGUUGGCGGGGUAACGGCCCACCAAGGCAACGAUCAGUAGGGGUUCUGAGAGGAAGGUCCCCCACAUUGGAACUGAGACACGGUCCAAACUCCUACGGGAGGCAGCAGUGAGGAAUAUUGGUCAAUGGGCGAGAGCCUGAACCAGCCAAGUAGCGUGCAGGAUGACGGCCCUAUGGGUUGUAAACUGCUUUUAUAAGGGAAUAAAGUGGGUCUCGCGAGACUUUUUGCAUGUACCUUAUGAAUAAGAACCGGCUAAUUCCGUG
rnacentral:rRNA from 1 species